rnacentral:lncRNA from 1 species
UAAAAGUCACAUUUAAAAUUUUAGAGUGGUACCUCAUCUACUUGAUUUUGUGUCUGCUGGAGUCUUCGAUUACUGCCAGUGGCAGCACUUGACCCCGAAGGCACACCUGUAGACCUGAAAGGUAUAAAGUCACAAGUAUGAGUACACUGUAAUUCCCAGUGCACUUGAUAAGCUAAUAUAUAAUCCCAAUGCUCCAACCAUGACAUGGGAGGUGGACACAUGAGAGUCUUGGAAGCCUGAGGGCCAGCUCACCUGAUACAUGCAGCACUGAACAAGAGAUAGUGUCUCCAAUAAGGUGGAAAGCCAGGACUGACAUGUGAGGUUGUUCUCUGCUCUCAAGUGUCCUUUGCUCUCAAGUAUACCAUGGCCUGUUUGUGUGUAUAAACUGUUAUGGUGGGACGCAGUCUUAACUCCUUACACUGCAGUUAUUUCUUAAAAGUCCCAAGGUAAAAAAUAAAGGCACUAAUAUGUUUUUAUAACCCCUCAAUAAUUCUUAAGACUGUAUCACUUGAUAGUGAUAAAAGUCUGAAACAAAUAUUUAACAAGAUCUGUUCUAUGUCAAUAAAGUGUGGGUUUUUUUUUUUUUUAAACUUGCUUUAAGACACACAGAUGUUUAAAGUAGACUCCUGAUCUUUUUGUUGUGGCUGAUAAUUAGGAACAAUCACAGAACAGACAAUAUGAAGAAAUAGGUUCAAAGUGCAUGGAGGGGGUCUGUAUGAACGGGAAGGAGGCUGAAGCAACUGUCUCUGUUGGAAAGUCAUUCAUCUCUCAUAGGUUCAGUGAGUCUGGAUUUUCACUCAUCCCCACUUUUCACAAGUACUCUGGUUUUUAAGUCCUUAUUGCCUCCAUUAAACUCUUGUAUCUAAAACAGCUUCCAAUUUUUGCCUUCCUACACAACUGUCACUCUAGGGUUGACUCACAGCACUUUUUAAAGUUUGCACUGUGUCUACCACCAAGGACACAUCACUGAUGGCUGUCUCACAUAACUCAGGGUCCGAAAAUUAAACAGGUAAGGACCGUGCUCUGGAAGCACUAUCCAUGUUAUUUAUUUUUUCUCUCUUUAAAGUCUAAUAUCACUAAAGAGGAUACUACGAUCCUUCCCAUCUUAUUAAAACUUAGGCUGAACAUGCGGCUGGCUGAACUGAACCAAUUUAAUCCUCUUGAGUGUGGACCGGACACUGCCAUUUGCUCAGCAGUCUGACCAGGUACAUCUUAAGUGGUGACAACAAUUCUGGCUGAAGGUUGCAAUUAGAAACCAAUUUUAAAACCAGAGUGUGCUGGCUUAAAACGGAAGAGAAACCCAUUGCCCAGAUGCGUCGGGAGCGCCAAACGCUGGCCUACGACGGGCUCCCGGCCACCUCAGGUCUCCCGCUCCUGCCGGGCGCACCCCGCGCACAGAGUGAGCGUUCACGCUCGCUCCCGCCCCUCGCGAGGAAGGAGCCGCGGGGUGUGGCGGCCGCUUCCUCGGUCAGGCGGUGUCCCCACCCCCGUCCUUCCGCGUCUGCCCGCCGUCCGCGGGGCACUCGGGGACGUCGCGGCGCCACGACUCGUCCCGCAGCGUCCGGGGACAGGGUGCACCGCGGGGCCGCUGCCCACCUCAGGCCCCGGGACUCCGCGCGUAGGCCUGCGAGGCCUCCACUCGAGUCCGAGUGUCAAGCAGCGGCCACCGCGCCUGAAGCGGGUCGCAGGAGUGGGCCACCAUCCCCGGAGCCCGCCUCGCCUCUCAGCGCAGCGCGUCACUCACAUUUUGGCGGCGGUGGCGGCGGCGAAUGGCCGAGGGUCGACGGACUCGCGCUGCAGGCAACCGAGGCUGAGGAGAUGGGCGGGGCCGUGGUGACGUCACGAGCGGUGGCCGGACCGGAACCCGCGACGCGCUCUUAGUCGCCAGGGGCGCGCCGGAAAUGGGCGGGAUAGGAAUCGAGCCGGGCGCAGCGCGGGCUGUCACCUCGGAGCAGAGCGGAGUGGGAGGGGCCAGAGCUUGCGCUGAAGUAGCGCCGGCGCUGACGAGUGGGCGGGCGUUCUCGGUGGACAAGUGGGCGGGGCUAGAGCGCGGCGCCUGCGCCUUUGGGCUGGGCUCUUCGCCGCCAAGGAAUCACAGCAGCUCCCUGCAGUGUCUCUGCUGCCCUGUCUCUAGCCCUGGAAAGGCAGUUUAGAGUGAGAAUGGGUACGUUUUACAUUACUGUGAGCCCGCAUACCUUGUCUCUCAUGUUAGAAACAGCGGACGUGCCUAACGUUCCAGAAUAAUCUAGUGGUCCUGAGGAGACAAAGUUCUUUUCUGAGAAAGAGGCAGUAGGAAGUCCAUGUGGAGUCUUGGCCACAGGAUUUGGGAGAAGUCUCCUCUCAGGUUCUCACAUGACAAAUAUUUGCCAUUGCACGGAUAUUAAAUCCCUAAAGGGAGCCUUGGCUUAGAGAACUGUAAGGUUCUUCAUUUCUGUAAUUCCCUGGCCCUUGCGGAGACGACACUCAAUUUUUGUUCAACGGGGGUGAGUAGUUAUGUGGAAAAGAAUCCCAACAAGGUCUAAAACAGACUAAAUAAACUCCGUUGGUGGAUUCACUCAAUGAAAUACACUAAGGUAUUUUUCCACUUCAGCAUGGUAACUCCCAAAGGUGUGUGUUGCAAUUAAAGAGCGCCACACCAGUGGGUACUAGGUUGAGUAGUAGUUAUAAAAACCAUUCUGGAUAGGAGGAAAUGGAGAGUGUGGGGCCGGGCUUAAACAGUGAACAGAAAAUGCAGUGGGCUCCUGGUGGGAGGUUCAGAGUGUGAAACUGGCACUAGUUCUGAGGUAGAUCAGAAGUGAAGUCCUACCAGAGAGAUAACAGAACUCUACAGCCAAGAGGACUGGAACAGUGACGAAGAAUACCUAGCAGGGAGGCCUUGUGAGGUAAGCUGGAAAGGGUCUU